GGACUACUCGGGUUUCUAAUCCCGUUUGCUCCCCUGGCUUUCGCGCCUCAGCGUCAGAAGAGGUCCAGCAGGUCGCUUUCGCCACCGGCGUUCCUUCCGAUAUCAACGCAUUUCACCGCUCCACCGGAAGUUCCACCUGCCCCUACCUCCCUCCAGCGGCGCCGUAUCCAAGGCCCUUUUCCGGUUAAGCCGAAAGCUUUCACCCCGGACGUGCGCCACCGCCUACGCGCCCUUUAAGCCCAGUGAAUCCGAACAACGUUCGCACGGUUCGUCUUACCGCGGCUGCUGGCAC
rnacentral:rRNA from 3 species